CUCUCUCUCUCUCUCGCUCGCUCGCUCGCUCAAAGCUGCUAAGACCAAUCCGGCCUCAGUUGCUAUCACGACUAAAGAAUCAAGCAAGGUCUCUCUAUCGCUGCCCUAAAUUGGUGAUUUCUGUUCGUCUCAAUCAGGUGAUUUCUGUUCGUCUCAAUCCGGCCUCAGUUGCUAUCACGACUAAAGAAUCAAGCAAGGUCUCUCUAUCGCUGGCCCUAAAUUGGUGAUUUCUGUUCGUCUCAAUCAGGUGAUUUCUGUUCGUCUCAAUCCGGCCUCAGUUGCUAUCACGACUAAAGAAUCAAGCAAGGUUUGUUAUUGCAUUUAUGAAGGUUUAAAUUGAUUGUAGGAUUAUUGCUCGUCAUACCCUAAUUUUCCCCUCUUCUUUCAGGUCUCUCUAUCGCUGCCCUAAAUUGGUGAUUUCUGUUCGUCUCAAUCAGGUAAGGUCAUUCAAUUUAUCGCUUUUUUUUGUUUUCUAUGAACUAGGUGAGUCUUCUUUUUGUGAUUCCUCUAUUGUGAAUUGAUGAGGGUUUAGUUACUGAGUCGUCUAUGAAAGGGGAAGGUUGUGAUUCAUCUUUGUUGAAGAUGUUCAAUUUUGUGUUUGCUGAAAAUUCCCAAUUGCAAUUUGUAGUGACCUGGUAUGUGUGAACCAACCCCAUUUUAUGCUUCUGAAAUUGAAUGCGAGAAAGUUAGUCUUAAGUUUCUGGAUGCAUCCAACACUUGAUGAUCAUUGAUUUAUACACACACACACUUUUUAUAUACAUAUAUAUACUUGUCAGUUUCUGGAUGCAUCCUUAAAGAUUUUGUUGUGAUAACUACAAAUUCUGUAGGGAAAAAAAAAGAUGGUAGAACUACCAUAGAUAUGCUUGUGUUAUGGGAAAGCCUUCAUGCCCUCUGACGUCAAUCGCUCAUGUACUAUAUUCCUUUGGUACCAAAGCAACAUAACCAACUAUAGGGCAAUUCAUAUUCGUGUUAAGUGGCUGUGUUUAUGUCAUGUCAUUUUGUUUUUUGGUGGCUGUUCUUUCCUCUUUGGUUUGCUGCCAAGCUAUUCUUUGCUGGGUUGCUUCUGUAUAUGGGUGGCCUUAUCAAUUAUUUGAGUGCUACUGCUGCAUCUUUCAUCUUUUACUGCUAUUUUGGUUUUCUCUUUUUUUUUGCUGCUGCAGCAUUUUUCACCUUAUGCUGCUGCAGAAUUUUCAUCUUAUGCUGCUAGGUAUCUGAAGACUUGAGAGGGUAGAGACUUGACAUGUUUUUGAGCUGAUCUUUUGCUAGUAGUUAAGUUUCUCCUUUUCUUCUUUAAAGCAAAGGUGAUCCAUAUCUCCGUCGCCAAGAUCCUUGAGAAAAUAGAAAUACAAGCAUGCCUUCUCCUCAGGAAGUGUUGGGAAAGGGUUCAGAUGAACAGGGUGGUUCUAAUGGAAAUGGUGGCACUCAGCCACCGACUGCUCAAGAUGUACUUGGCCGGCCAUGACAAGGAAAACUGUUAUGCGAAGAAUUGCUCAAUGAUACUCUUCUCUGUUCCGGUCUCUGCAGAUAUACGCAUGCAAGUCUUAACUUAUAUUUACAAAUUAUCUUAAUUUUUGUACAUAUUACAAGUCUAUUAAAAUAUGUAGACAUAUCGAAAAGGAGUGGCUGGUGCUCCCUGAAUAAAUCCCACUGGGUGUGUAAUAGA